CCUACGGGAGGCAGCAGUCGAGAAUCAUUCACAAUGGGGGAAACCCUGAUGGUGCGACGCCGCGUGGGGGAAUGCAGGUCUUCGGAUUGUAAACCCCUGUCAUGUGGGAGCAAAGUAAAAAGAUAGUACCACAAGAGGAAGAGCCGGCUAACUCUGUGCCAGCAACCGCGGUAAUACAGAGGGCUCAAGCGUUGUUCGGAAUCACUGGGUGUAAAGCGUGCGGAGGCUGUUUCGUAAGUCGGGUGUGAAAGGCGCGGGCUCAACCCGCGGACGGCACAUGAUACUGCGAGACUAGAGUAAUGGAGGGGGAACCGGAAGGCUUGGUGUAGCAGUGAAAUGCGUAGAUAUC
rnacentral:rRNA from 1 species